CUGGUUGAUCCUGCCAGUAGUCAUAUGCUUGUCUCAAAGAUUAAGCCAUGCAUGUCUAAGUACAUACUUUUGCACGGUGAAACCGCGAAUGGCUCAUUAAAUCAGUUAUGGUUCCUUAGAUCGUUCAUAUUACAUGGAUAACUGUGGUAAUUCUAGAGCUAAUACAUGCAAAAAGCUCCGACCGUAUGGGAAGAGCGCUUUUAUUAGACCAAAACCAAUGGGAUCGCAAGAUCCCUUUGUAUGGUGACUCUGGAUAACUUUGUGCUGAUCGCAUGGCCUAGAGCCGGCGACGUAUCUUUCAAGUGUCUGCCCUAUCAACUUUCGAUGGUAAGCGAUUUGCCUACCAUGGUUGUAACGGGUAACGGGGAAUCAGGGUUCGAUUCCGGAGAGGGAGCAUGAGAAAUGGCUACCACAUCUACGGAAGGCAGCAGGCGCGCAAAUUACCCACUCCUAGAACGGGGAGGUAAUGACGAAAAAUAACAAUACCGGGCUUCACAGUCUUGCAAUUGGAAUGAGUAGAUUUUAAAUCUCUCUACGAGUAACAAUUGGAGGGCAAGUCUGGU
rnacentral:rRNA from 1 species